rnacentral:lncRNA from 1 species
AGAACACAUGGAUAAACACUCAGUCGUACCACAUUACUAACAUGAUCAACGUGGAGCUUAAUUCUCGCUGAUUUGGCCCAGGAACAACCCAGUCCAUAAGCGGAAGCCACCACUUAGUAAAACAAAAACCUCAAAUAAGCAUAACUUAUAUAUGAUCACUGACUUUUAUGAACAAGCCCAUUAAAACUGGUCCAGGCUAGUCAUGAACCAGAUUUAACACAUAAUACUCAAGAAAUGGACCUAAUACAUUAUAUAUCUAUCGAAUAAACUCAUCAAACAUGACGGAAAUCAAAGAAACAGACUAACCUUCAGCACAUGAAGCUCAGGCAAUUGCUACCAAUUACAAACCAUUCACCUUAGCUAACUUAGACAGAAAAAAACUGCAAUAAAUUAAAUCAGAAGAAGAAAUAGACUAAUGCUCAUGCUUCAACUCUUCAGUUUGAUUUAUUCUCCAAAUUUUCACUUCACAUUUAGUACGGCUACAAAGUUGUGUACCUGGAAAGCAAAUAAGGUAUGAAGAGGGAGGGAUUAGCAGUAGUAAAACAACAGUCAGCAGCAGUAACAACUUUGAAAACCCAGGAAGUGAUAUCCGAUGGUUCAAUAAGCAACACUUAGACAAGAUAGAGAUUUGAUUUAGAAUUUAGGGCUUCAAGAUCACCCUAAGGAUUUUAGUGGAAUUGUGACCUUUUGGAGUUUUGAUUACCUGAAGUUUUUCAGAAAUUUUCAGUGUUUUAAUGCCUUUUAAUCCCUAAAAUCUCUGAAAUCUCUCUUCUGCCAGAACCCCCCCCCCCCUCAAAAAUACUUUUCAGAUUUUUUCAACCUCUCCAACUUUUAGACCACCCAAAACUUGUUCAACAAGGUAAGGGGUAUGUCUUUUUAUAGCCAAAGCCUAGUGCAACCUUCAGAUUUUCAUUUGCACCCCAGGUCCCUCUUUUAAUUUCAGAUUUAGCUAGUUAGUCC